rnacentral:rRNA from 1 species
UACGGAGGUGGCAAGCGUUGUUCGGAAUUACUGGGCGUAAAGGGCGCGUAGGCGGAAGGGUCCGUCUGAUGUGAAAGUGCUACCGCUCAACGGAGCAAAGUCAUCGGAUACCACCCUUCUGGAGUUCGGGAGAGGUGAGCGGAAUUGCUGGUGUAGCGGUGGAAUGUACAGAUAUCAGCAAGAACACCUGUGGCGAAGGCGGCUCACUGGCCCGCAACUGACGCUGAGUGCGCAAAAGCGUGGGGAGCAAACGGG